rnacentral:lncRNA from 1 species
ACCAGAGUUCAAUCCCCAGUACCAAAAAAAAAAAAAAAACUACCAUGAAGGAUAUGCACAGUUGGGAUACAUGGAUUUGAAAUUUGAAUGGGGUCAUUCCUAAUGACAGUGAAACAUGAACAAAGAUGUAAGUUAUGAAUAGACAGGGUAUCUGUGGUUCUAAAAAUGUUCACCUACAUUUAGUACAGCAUAAGACAUAGAGAGGAAGUGACAAAAUGUCACCCUACCCCAAAUCUCCUUCAUUAACAAUUUUCUAGUUCAAAGCUGACCAUGAAAAUAUUGUGAUCUAGAUAAGGUAUGGAAAUUUACAAAAACAAUUAAAAAUAUAGACUGAAGGAUUUAUUUCUAGAUUAAUAGAAUAUUUAGUCAUGUGCCAGAGAAUCAGAAUGAUAAUCAAUACCUGGAAUUGCUUCUUAUUUAGUGGGCAAAAGGAAACAAUUUUUUUCACAUUAAAUAAUAGAAGAUAGGGUCCCAGGGACAUUGCUGAGUAGGAAGAGAUGGAAGUUCUUGGAUGAGUCAGGAGGGUGCGUGCAAGUUGUAUUCCAGGGAAUACUAGAGGUAAGAGCUAGAACACCUAAAGUCAAUUUUCAAGUCAAAGGGUUAUCCCUGUAAAUCAAAUGACAAACUCCAAAGGCUCCUAAUAAUGAAAGCCAUUGGAAAACACAACAGUGGUGUGGGGUGACAUAGGGCAAAAAGCACAGGAAAAAGUAAAGGAAAAGAACUGAACAUAAUUUCCUAAAAUAAAGAUGCUAUUACACUUGCAAUAUGGUUACAUUUUGAUAAACCUAUAUACAGAGUUCACCAAAAAAUGUAUGAACACUUCAGGAAAAGAAAACCAGCAUGGGGCUACUGGCUCAGACCCCUCUUGCCCCUAGGAGCUUUCCUAACAAUAAACAUCUUCCUACAUUUGACCUCCGUCAUUCCUAGGACUCAUUCUUCAAUUUCUAGAGAAUAAGAACUCGGUGUAUCAUACAGUUAACAGGUUGGGAGAUAUAACAUUUCAUAUUUCAUAUUUCCCAUGACAUUAUUGGAGGUCCCACUGAGAUAAUAAUUGAUAGGAGGUAAGGAUUUACUUUUAUUGAUUGCUAAAUUAUAUUAAGUAACCAAAAUUGUCCUUCUUGUUUGUCACUGCUUGUGCCUCUUGUAAAUACUUUGUCCUUUGAGUUCUUAUACAUUGUCAUUUUGUUAAAAUGAUGAUGUUUCUUUAAAGGGAUAUUUUACUUUUGUAGACAAGGUUUUAUGUUUCUGUUUUAUAUUGAUUGCUUGAUUGACUUGUUAGACAAUGCUGAGGAAAAGUAAUGUUAGAUCAUCAUCUGAAGGCCUUUACCAAUAAUUGUUAGUAAAUUAGAAAAUGUAGUAAAAAUUGGUCUCUCUGUAAAAUCUAGUUUAUAGUUGAAAAAUAUAUGUGCUUAUUGAUAAAAUGCAGGACGCCAGCUGUGAAUUAAUAAGGCACUAGGCCGGCAGCCACUCUUAAGACUUGGGGGACAGGUUUCACUGAGCAGUCUGGCCCAAUCCUUCUGUAUACUCUAGAGAAAAUAUUGAGCCAGCUCUGCCUCAGUUUCCUUUCUGAUAUGAUCUUCCACUGGUGGGGAGGCAAUCUUAGCUCUUGAGAUUCCCCACUCUCGCCUUUCCAGGCUGAGAGUGACAACUCAGGGACAAGUUGUCUCAAUAACUGACCAAGAGCAUGAGAAGAAAAGACCUCCUUUCCUGGUCUCUGUCAGGUAAAAGGGCCGAAGACCAAGACCAGACCAGGCCACAACAAGCCUUUAUUAGGGGAAUAGAUCUGCCGGGCUGUCUCUGAACAAAGGAGAGACAAAAGCAACAUGGCCGGGGCAGGGAGAGUCUUUUAUAGAGACAGGGGUGGGGUUUGUAGGGGCUGAGGCAGGGUUGAGUGAGGUAGUGAUCAGGGAGUGGAGGAGCCGGUGAUGUCACUAGGUGGUAGGAGGUGAGCGAGUAUUAGGUUACUCUCUAGGUGGGACCAGGGGCAUGCUGGGAAGAAGGGUUUGUUCUUUGGUGGGAGCAACCAUCUUGGCACGACGUCACACAGGGGAGGGGGCAAGGCACCAUAGGAAGAGGGCAGCUACUAUACAUAAUGGCUGCUGAGGUAGUGGAAGACCUAUCAGUCGCAUUUCCAAUCUCUCCUGCCAAUCUUAUUCUCUCCCCUAAAAAGGCGUGUAAAGUGAGAAAGGACCUCUCAAGUACUCAAUGUCUUUCUCCUAAGAACCUUUAAGUUAAGUCCUUAGAAAAUAAGUGUUCUUGCCAAUGCCAAAGAUAGGGAAGUUAUUUUAGAUCAG